rnacentral:antisense_RNA from 1 species
AGAAGCCAGUUCUUCCAAACAAAGGAACUUAGGAUUUACAAGUCAGUAAAACAUGUGCAACAUUUCCACAAAUGUACCAGAGUUGUUCGUAAUCAUAACAGCAUUGGCUGGGCAAGCUAGGGCAGGGAAUGUGAUGAACAGUGGGCUUGAAUAAGUGAAGUGGAGGAGGGGAGGCUUCUCAGGAAGGGAGAAUAGCAUGAACAGCAGCAUAGACGUGAGAAUAACCAUCUGGAGUGAUGAACCUAUGCUGAGUAGAAAGUUCCAGAAGGCUGCAUAAGAGAGGUGUGUGAACAGCAGAAGCAGGACAAGCCUGAGAUGAAUGUGAGGUUCUGCUCUGUUGUAACAACGCUGUCUUCUCACAAGCUACUCAUGUGCCUUAUAAGAAGAUAACCCACAAUCCCUGACUCUGCUUUAUUCAAUGACUAGCUACUGCAGACUGCGUAAAUGGACAGGACAGCCAGAGAGGGAGAAGACGGCUAAACUGAAGCAACUUGGAGCUAGUCUUUCAGAAAAUA